rnacentral:rRNA from 1 species
CAGUCGCCACGGUAAUACGUAGGUGGCAAGCGUUGUCCGGAAUUAUUGGGCGUAAAGCGCGCGCAGGCGGAUCAGUCAGUCUGUCUUAAAAGUUCGGGGCUUAACCCCGUGAUGGGAUGGAAACUGCUGAUCUAGAGUAUCGGAGAGGAAAGUGGAAUUCCUAGUGUAGCGGUGAAAUGCGUAGAUAUAUGGAGGAACACCAGUGGCGAAGGCGACUCUCUGGUCUGUAACUGACGCUGAAGCGCGAAAGCGUGGGGAGCAAACAGGAUUAGAGACCCCGGUAGUCCCUGUCUCUUAUACC